UAACACAACCCUUUUCCCCAUUCCUCAGGAAGAACAAUGGCUCAGAGAAGCUAAGUGACUUUCCCAAGGCCACACAGCUAUUCAGAGACCCAGUUUGAAUUCACCUUCAUCUACACCACAAUCAAUUCAAAUGUGACUGAAUUUAUAACCCCAAGGUAUUUUUGUGCAAGAUUUCAAAGAUUAUGCAAGCUGUGUAUAGCAAUGGAAUAAUUCACAAUAAAGGCUGAUAAAGUUAAGGCAUUAUCAGAAAAUAAAAUAUAUUUUCAUUUUCAAUAAAAGAAUAUGAACACCAAAAGUAAUUACCCACCCACCCUCAAACAAAAAUAAUCAUCAUUACAAAGGGACUAAUGCUUCCUACCCUUGGACAAAGUGAAGGAUCACAUUCAGACCAGUGUGCAUGUAGCUGACUCUUGAGAAAGAGAUGACUAUCUCCAGGGUUCACGCUUCACCCAAUUCUUGCAGAGCCAUGUGAAGUUAGAGCUAAUUUCAGUAAUCACCCCAUCUUAAUAAUAAGAUGUCCUACAAUCUUUGGCAGUGACUCAGAGAAGCAGCCAAAAAAAUAAUAAUAAUAGUAAUAAAAAUAAAAAGAGAAAGAAAAAAAGCAGAAAGCUUAUAUACUAGCACCACUGACUGCCCACCCCAAUCAGCUCUACCUUCAAGAAAGUAAAAAAAGGUUAGAUAGCCCCCUCCAUAAUACUGAAGAAGGCUAAGGAUUUCUGUGCCCACUUAAGACCAUCCAUGGUAUUCAUUUUAACUUGAUUUUGUCUAUAUAAAAAUGCUGAGGGACAGAUGUGUUGGUGGCAUGCAUGGUUUUCUGACCCUGGCAGUCUCUAGGGCAUAUGGUAGCUAACUUGAGCAUGUAUCUUCUAUGUUCCAGAACCUACUAUAAUAUCUCACAAAAGCUACAAUGGUUUUAGCUAUAAGAAACAGCAUAUACAUACAACAACCAGACUAAAUGAUGAAGGGAAUUUGUUCGUGUAAGAUCUGAAAAUCUUGGCAGUUAGAAAGGGCUUCAGGAAAGGCUUGAUUCAGCAUCUCCAUGGCUAUCAACAAGGCCCAGUUUCUUCCAUGUCUCCAUCCUUCCCUCCACUGUGUUGGCUUCAUCCACAGGCUCAUUCCCCUCUGAUCACAAAGUGGCUGCCAGCUGCAAUCUGGGCUGCAUUCUUCAUCUUUCACAACCAGUGGGGGUGAAGAAUCGUCGUCAUCUGGGGUAAUACCCAAGGUUCGUUCCCUCGUGCCAAGGAAAUCAAGGAUGUGGACACACAAGGAGUGAGGUUAAGAGCAGAGGUUUAAUAAGUGAAAGAAAGAGAAAAGUUCUCUCUCCUGCAGAGAGAGAGGGGCUCCUGAGUGGGUCUUCCAGUCUGUGGCAAAGUGCAAGAGGUUUUACAGAUGAGCUUGAGGAGAUGGUGUCUGAUUUACAUAGGAUACAAAGGAUUGGUUGGAGCAGGUAUGCCAUUUGCAUAGUGAGGGAAGAACUGGUUUGGACUAGGUGUGCCGUUUGCAUAGCUUGCGAGGAAGCUGGCUGCCUCACCCUAAUCUUUUAUUAUGCAGUUGGGUUCUCUACCUGGCUGACGCCAUGUUGCCUGCUUCUUCACUGUGCAUGUGGAGCCUGAGGGGAAUGUUUCAAGGAAGAGGGGACAAGCAAGUCAGCAUCUGGAGGAAUGGAGGCAGCACUGUGUUGCAUGGCUCCAGAGAACACCACUCUCUUUGUGUUCUAUGCAACAUGCCCACGAGUUAUGCAUUGCAGCACCUGGCCAUAAAUCAUCACCAACCCUAUGGAUGAAGCAACACCCCAGGGAGGGUGGAGAAGUACAGGGGAAGGAGCCAGGGCCCCCAUGAAACAAACAUUUCUUCCAGGAAUUUCCCAAGCCCAGACCAUUGCAUGAAAAGAGAAAUAAAAUACUCUUUUGUUUCCAUCACAUUGUUUUUGGUCUCAGUUGGAGCAGCAGACCCUAUAUUGCAACAAACAGACUCAAUCACCCUCAUUAUUAGGAAAGUCAGCUCUGCAGCAAUUCUUCCCUUAAACACCACAGGGUGUUUUGGGCGUUAAAGGAAAAACCUUAGAAAAACUAAAUGUAACAGAAUUUAAUUGAGUGAAAAAUGGUUCUUGAAUUGGGCAAUCCCCAAAACAGAAUAGGUUCAGAGAUGCUUCCAGGCUACCGCGUGGUCGAGGAUGAUUUAUGGGCAGAAAAAAGAGAGUGACAUAUGGAAAACAGAAGUAAGGAACAGAAACAGCUGGAUGGGUUCUAGCUUGGCGUUUGCCUUCUUUGAACAUGGUUUGAAGAGUUGGCUGUCUGUGAUUGGCUGAAACCCAGAGAUUGGUACUAGAGUUGGUUAUAGCCUGUUUACACAUCCAGUUAGGUGAUAGUUCACUAUGUAUGAAGAAACAUUUAAACCAAACUGAAUUUAACAUGGAUAAGACAAGGUCUUUCGUUAAAGGGCCAUGAGAGUGAAGGCAACUUUCACCUCCAGAGCCCCUGCCUUCUGUGCCUGGAUGCCCAGAGGGUCAUCAGCCUGUGUCAUCACGUGGAAUGUCAUCCAUCCUCCUCUGAGAGCCUCAGCAGGGUAAAGAUAUGGCAAAACCCAGACUGUUGUAUUCAUCGCUGUAUACCUAGAGUCCAUCACUGUACUAGCACACAGUAGGGCUCAGAGGUGCUGCUUGCUCAGUAAAGGACUGAAUGAACACAUUGAUGGCUAUAGCCAGUGAGUGAUGCACCAGAUGGGUGCUCACAUUCCUCCAUGCUUUGGCUCCAUCCAACCUAUCUGCUUCCUCUACAAUGUCUUCUUCCCAUGUGGACCAACAGCAGCAACAGCACCUGGGGACUUGUUAGAAUGCAAACUCAUAGGCUGCUCUCCAGACUGCCCAAGUUGGGAACUCUGGUGCUGGCGCGGGGUGCAGUAGUCUGUGUUUUAAUGCACCCACCAGGCGAUUCCAAUGCUGACUCGAGUUUGAGAGCCGCUGCUCGCCAUGAGUGUUUCACAAAUUGCAUAGCACAGCCAUUCCUUUGUUGUUCCCUCUACCUGGGAUGCCUUUCUCCCUAUCUCUGUCAGUAGCAGACUCACUCAUGUUUGGGGGACUCUGAACACGCCACCUCCUCCAGAAAGUAUCCCCAGAUCCCCACAGUCUGGAGGAAUAACUCCCUGGGGAUACUCACAGGCUGUGCUUGUCUCUUCAAUCCCUGGUUUAUUCAGGCCAGAGCUUCCUGCCUCCCCAACUGGGAUGUGAGCUCCUUUCUGCAGUACCAGGUUUUCUUCAACUCCCCAGCCCCUGGCUCCAUCGAGCCAAACUUACAUUGGUAUUCAAUAAAUGCUGUUGGUUUGGUUUUUUUGUUUUUUUUUUUUUUUUUUUGAGACGGAGUCUCGCUCUGUUGCCCAGCCUGGAGUGCAGUGGUGCAAUCUCCGCUCACUGCAAGCUCUGCCUCCCGUGUUCAUGCCAUUCUCCUGCCUCAGCCUCCCGAGUAGCUGGGACCACAGGCACCUGCCACCACCCAGCUAAUUUUUUGUAUUUUUAGUAGAGACAGGAUUUCACUGUGUUAGCCAGGAUGGUCUCGAUCUCCUGACCUCGUGAUCCACCCGCCUCAGCCUCCCAAAGUGCUGGGAUUACAGGCAUGAGCCAACAUGCCUGGCCUGCUGUUGGUUAGAAUAAUACCACAGAGCAUCAGUCUAGUCCACUCCUAGAUAUAGACUCACAAAGAAGAAAGCCAGGUGGCACAGUGAU
rnacentral:lncRNA from 10 species